GGCUAUUUUCCAGUGAGCACCCAGUAAAGAGUCCCCAGCUGCCCUCUCCUGCGUCAUCACUCCCGUGUCCCUUUCUACACCCCAUGCUGUGACCACAUCAGCCCACUCACUCUUCCUACUAUAUGUUCUCCCCAUCUCAGUGGCUCCCCUCAUGCUGCAUUCUCUGCCUGGUAUUCUCUCCCUUCCCUCCCUUCCUUCUCUGAAUGUCAAAGUUGAAUUCCUCCACCAGGGUCCAGCUCAAAUGUUACCGCCUGCUUUGGAGCCUCCCCCGCCAGUCCCCAGCCCAGACUCGCCAACUCUGCCACCCCCUCAAUUUGGCAGGGGCUCUUAUCUCAGAAGCUGCUGGAAGAAUUUGGCAUUUUGACCCUAUUUCAUCACUCCUAGGGCAGUCUGGCAGACAAAGAUGCUCCACACAGCAGCUGAGCUCAUUCACAGAAGCACCGCACACACACAAGGCCCCUCCAAAGUGGUUCCCAUGGAUGCUCCUCUCCUCGCCUCCACACAGGAGAGGAAUGAACCUUGUUCCCAGCUGGAACCCCUCUCUGGAUUCCAGGUUUCCCCACCUGUUCUCGAGGUCCUGAUCCCAGGCCACGCUGGGACCCUUUCUCCAGUUCCAUCUUUGCUUCUUCCUGUGCCUUCCCCACCUUCUUGCAGCCCCUGGAACACAUCCCUGGAACAGCUUAUUCACCCCCACACAACCUUGAGUAGAUAAAGGCCCACAAAGGUAUUAGAGACUUCGUGUCAUCCUUUGAGCAAGGGGCUUGACCCCAAGUGCCCACCCCAAAACGCCUGUGGUAAUGGUGACACCAUAGGUGCCAUUCUGGGGAAGGGAGAGAGUGAGGGUGGAGGAUGUCAUCCCCAUAGUGGCAGGGCAAGAGACAGGUCCCCGCCCCAGGCAUCUUGGGCAGGUGGCUCCAGGUUCCGUUCU
rnacentral:lncRNA from 1 species